rnacentral:rRNA from 1 species
UACGUAGGUGACAAGCGUUGUCCGGGAUUUACUGGGGCGUAAAGGGCGCGCAGGCGGUCGAUCAAGUCGAGUGUGAAAGCCCCCGCUCAACUGGGGAGGGUCAUUCGAUACUGAUCGACUCGAAGGCAGGAGAGGGUAGUGGAAUUCCCGGUGUAGUGGGUGAAAUGCGUAGAUAUCGGGGAGGAACACCAGUGGCGAAGGCGA